rnacentral:rRNA from 1 species
AUUGAACGCUGGCGGCAGGCUUAACACAUGCAAGUCGAGCGGGGAAGGGUAGCUUGCUACCUGACCUAGCGGCGGACGGGUGAGUAAUGCUUAGGAAUCUGCCUAUUAGUGGGGGACAACAUUCCGAAAGGAAUGCUAAUACCGCAUACGCCCUACGGGGGAAAGCAGGGGAUCUUCGGACCUUGCGCUAAUAGAUGAGCCUAAGUCAGAUUAGCUAGUUGGUGGGGUAAAGGCCUACCAAGGCGACGAUCUGUAGCGGGUCUGAGAGGAUGAUCCGCCACACUGGGACUGAGACACGGCCCAGACUCCUACGGGAGGCAGCAGUGGGGAAUAUUGGACAAUGGGCGCAAGCCUGAUCCAGCCAUGCCGCGUGUGUGAAGAAGGCCUUUUGGUUGCAAAGCACUUUAAGCGAGGAGGAGGCUACUUGGAUUAAUACUCUAGGAUAGUGGACGUUACUCGCAGAAUAAGCACCGGCUAAAUCUGUGCCAACAACCGCGGGAAUACAGAGGGUGCGAGCGUUAAUCGGAUUUACUGGGGGUAAAAACGUGCGUAGGCGGCUUUUUAGUCGGAUGUGAAAUCCCUGAAGCUUAACUUGGGAAGUGCGUGCGUAUGGGAAGGGAAGUGUGGGGGGAGGUGGGGAAAUCCGGUGUACAGUGAAACCGGGAGAAGGGGGCGGGGAAGUCGUGGGGAAGGGUCG